rnacentral:RNase_P_RNA from 1 species
UGAGUUGGUUAGGCAAUCGCUGGUUUAUUGAAGCCCGAAAAAGAGUUGAAAAACUAUCUAUGGGACAGAUAAACGAGAGGAAAGUCCGAGCUACACAGGGCAGAGUGCCAGAUAACAUCUGGGAGGCGUGAGCCUACGACUAGUGCAACAGAGAGCAAACCGCCGAUGGCUCGUAAGAGAACAGGUAAGGGUGAAAGGGUGUGGUAAGAGCGCACCGCAUGAGUGGUAACAUUUCAUGGCACGGUAAACUCCACUCGUAGCAAGACCAAAUAGGAACUCAAUGGGCGGCCCGUUCAGAGUUCGGGUAGGUUGCUUGAGCGUAUGUGUGAAUAUGCGCCUAGAGGAAUGAUUGUCCACGACAGAACUCGGCUUACCGACCAACUCACCUU